CCGAGUGCGCAGGCAUAGAGCCUGCGCUUUUUCCUGAACUGUAGGGAGGUUCAGGAACAAGAGCUUGGGGCAAGAACCGGUGCCAGCCGCCGCGGUAAUACCGGCAGCUCGAUGAUGGCCGAUCUUAUUGGGCCUAAAGCGUCCGUAGCUGGCCGUCAAGUCCGUCGGGAAAUCCACCCGCUCAACGGGUGGGCGUCCGGCGGAAACUGGACGGCUUGGGACCGGGAGGCUUGAAGGGUACGUCCGGGGUAGGAGUGAAAUCCUGUAAUCCUGGACGGACCACCGAUGGGGAAACCACUUCAAGAGAACGGAUCCGACAGUGAGGGACGAAAGCUAGGGUCUCGAACCGGAUUAGAUACCCGGGUAGUCCUAGCUGUAAACGAUGCCUGUUAGGUGUGACUCCCACUACGAGUGGGUGUUGUGCCGUAGGGAAGCCGCUAAACAGGCCGCCUGGGAAGUACGUCUGCAAGGAUGAAACUUAAAGGAUNGGGGGGGGGAAAACACACAAAAAA
rnacentral:rRNA from 1 species